rnacentral:rRNA from 1 species
UACGAAGGGGGCUAGCGUUGCUCGGAAUCACUGGGCGUAAAGGGUGCGUAGGCGGGUCUUUAAGUCAGGGGUGAAAUCCUGGAGCUCAACUCCAGAACUGCCUUUGAUACUGAGGAUCUUGAGUUCGGGAGAGGUGAGUGGAACUGCGAGUGUAGAGGUGGAAUGCGUAGAGAUCCGGAAGAACACCGGUGGCGAAGGCGGUCUGCUGGGCCAAGACUGACGCUGAGGCGCGACAGCGUGGGGAGCAAACAGG